rfam:Habropoda laboriosa contig18102, whole genome shotgun sequence.
GAAACAGCUCUUCUCAGAGCUACAACAUUUUUUUAUGGACGUAGAU